GAUGAACGCUGGCGGCGUGCCUAAUACAUGCAAGUCGAGCGAACAGACGAGGAGCUUGCUCCUCUGACGUUAGCGGCGGACGGGUGAGUAACACGUGGAUAACCUACCUAUAAGACUGGGAUAACUUCGGGAAACCGGAGCUAAUACCGGAUAAUAUAUUGAACCGCAUGGUUCAAUAGUGAAAGACGGUUUUGCUGUCACUUAUAGAUGGAUCCGCGCUGCAUUAGCUAGUUGGUAAGGUAACGGCUUACCAAGGCGACGAUGCGUAGCCGACCUGAGAGGGUGAUCGGCCACACUGGAACUGAGACACGGUCCAGACUCCUACGGGAGGCAGCAGUAGGGAAUCUUCCGCAAUGGGCGAAAGCCUGACGGAGCAACGCCGCGUGAGUGAUGAAGGUCUUCGGAUCGUAAAACUCUGUUAUUAGGGAAGAACAAAUGUGUAAGUAACUAUGCACGUCUUGACGGUACCUAAUCAGAAAGCCACGGCUAACUACGUG
rnacentral:rRNA from 1 species